UCUCUUUCGCCCGGGGGUGUCUUUACAGUACGAGGUGGUCCUACGACUGAUAGGGAUGUUAACAGCAGCUACGGUGGUGAUCCCCUUGGGUUUACUCCACCUCAGACCACUCCAGUUAUGGAACAACAGUUUACGGCUAGAUCCCACCAGGCAUCGCCAUCGACUGGUUGUAAUUUCUCACCGUUGCAUAUGUGCGUUGAGGCGGUGGAGACAGUUAGAGUUUCUGAAGGCAGGAGUGCCCCUGGGUGUUGUUCCCUCUCGUCGGGAGUUGGUCACGACAGAUGCUUCCCUCACAGGAUGGGGGGCAACUUGGAAUCGGAGGGGUAUUUGUGGGCACUGGACACCGAUCCAGGCCACAGAGCAUAUCAACCUGCUAGAACUAAGGGCAGUGUUCUUGGCCCUAAAGUACUUCAUGCCGGUUCUGGCAGGCCGCCAUGUUCUCGUUCGGUCCGACAAUACCUCAACAGUGUUACAUCUGAACCACCAGGUUGGCACAAGAUCCCGCAGGUCUCUACGGUUGACUCACGAGAUCCUGACAUGGUGUCAGCCACGACUUGCUUCCCUGAGGGCAGCUCAUAUACCAGGAGUUUGCAACCAGACAGCAGAUGCUCUUUCCCGGGAUCAAGUACAUCCGGGAGAAUGGAGGCUUCAUCCAGAUGUAGUGCAGGAGAUCUGGCUACGAUUUGGGAGAGCAGAAGUGGAUCUUUUUGCUUCAGAGAGGACAACCCACUGCCGAUUAUGGUUCACAAGGACAGAGGUGUCCAGUCCACUGGGCCAGGAUGCGCUGUCUCACGAAUGGCCGGACUGCCUGCUGUAUGCGUUUCCACCUAUCCCUCUGUUAUGGGAGACGUUGCACAGGAGCUCGCUGUGCAAGCACAGAGUGUUACUUGUGGCACCACGGUGGCCAGCCAGACCAUGGUUUCCUUUGUUGCUGAGACUUCUGACAGGAAAUCCAUGGAAGCUUCCUCCCAGGAAGGACCUCCUCUCCCAGCUGGAGGGCAGUGUUUGGCACCCGGACCCGGCUCAUCUGCAGCUUUGGGUAUGGCCAUUGGGCUAAAAUCUUCCCUGGAGCAUUGUGAUCCUGCUGUUAUUCACACCAUCUCUAAUGCUAGGGCUUCUUCCA
ensembl:lncRNA